rnacentral:rRNA from 1 species
AGCGAACGCUGGCGGCAGGCCUAACACAUGCAAGUCGAACGGACCCUUCGGGGUUAGUGGCGGACGGGUGAGGAACACGUGGGAACGUGCCUUUAGGUUCGGAAUAGCUCCUGUAAACGGGUGGUAAUGCCGAAUGUGCCCUUCGGGGGAAAGAUUUAUCGCCUUUUGCGCGGCCCGCGUCUGUUUAGCUGGUUGGUGAGGUAACGGCUCACCAAGGCGACGAUCAUUAGCUGGUCGGAGAGGAUGACCAGCCACACUGGGGCUGAGACACGGGCCAGACUCGUAGGGAAAGGAGGAGAGGGUAAUCUUGCGCGAUGGGGGAAGGCCUGACGCCGCCAUGCGGGGUAAAUGAUGAAGGUGUUAGGAUUGUGAAAUUCUUUGACCGGGGACGAUAAUGACGGUACCCGGAGAAGAAGCCCCGGCUAACUUCGUG